rnacentral:rRNA from 1 species
GACGAACGCUGGCGGCGUGCUUAACACAUGCAAGUCGAACGGCAAGGCCCUGCUUUUUUGGGGUGCUCGAGUGGCGAACGGGUGCGUAACACGUGAGUAACCUGCCCUUGACUUUGGGAUAACUUCAGGAAACUGGGGCUAAUACCGUAUCGCAGCUCCUGUUGCAUUGUGGGGGUUGGAACGUUUCGGCGGUAGGGGAUGGACUCGCGGCUUAUCAGCUUGUUGGUGGGGUAGUGGCUUACCAAGGCUUUGACCGGUAGCCGGCCUGGGAGGGUGACCGGCGACAAUGGGACUGAGAUACGGCCCAGACUCCAACGGGAGGCAGCAGUGGGGAAUAUUGCACAAUGGGAGGAAGCCUGAGGCAGAAACGCCGCGUGCGGGAUGACGGCCUGCGGGUUGUAAACCGCUUUCGCCUGUGACGAAGCGGGAGUGACGGUAAUGGGUAAAGAAGCACCGGCUAACUACGUG